rnacentral:rRNA from 1 species
UACGUAGGGUGCAAGCGUUUGUCCGGAAUUAUUGGGCGUAAAGAGCUCGUAGGCGGCUUGUCGCGUCUGCUGUGAAAACUCGGGGCUUAACUCCGGGCCUGCAGUGGGUACGGGCAAACUAGAGUGCGGUAGGGGAGACUGGAAUUCCUGGUGUAGCGGUGAAAUGCGCAGAUAUCAGGAGGAACACCGGCGGCGAAGGCGGGGUCUCUGGGCCGUAACUGGACGCUGAGGAGCGAAAGCGUGGGGAGCGAACAGG